UACGUAGGGACCAAGCGUUGUUCGGAUUUACUGGGCGUAAAGGGCGCGUAGGCGGCGUGGUAAGUCACUUGUGAAAUCUCUGAGCUUAACUCAGAACGGCCAAGUGAUACUGCUGUGCUAGAGUGCAGAAGGGGCAAUCGGAAUUCUUGGUGUAGCGGUGAAAUGCGUAGAUAUCAAGAGGAAUACCUGAGGCGAAGGCGGGUUGCUAGGCUGACACUGACGCUGAGGCGCGAAAGCCAGGGGAGCAAACGGG
rnacentral:rRNA from 1 species